UAUUGAUUUAUUUUAUGUUAUUAGAUUAAUUUCAAUUUUAAUAUAUAUAUAAAUUUUUGUAUGUUUAUAUUUAAUAAUUUUAAAUAAAUUAUUAUAAUUAUAAUAAUUUAUUUUUAUUUAUAGUAUAUAAUUUUAAUAAUUAAAUAAUUUUAGAAUUAGAAAUAAUUUAAAGUAUUGGUAAAAUUUGUGCCAGCAACUGCGGUUAAACAAAUAAUACAAAUUAAUUUUUUUAGGUAAAGUAGUUAAUAUUAUUAUUUUUUUUUAUAAUUAUAAUAUAAAUUAUUUGGUGAAAUAUAUAAUUUAUAAAAUUUUAUAUAUUUUUAUAUAUAAAUCUAUUAAAUUUUUAAAUAAACUAGGAUUAGAUACCCUAUUAUUGAAAAUGUAAAAAAUUUUAUACUAAGUUAUUAAUAGUUAAAAUCUUUAAAGUUAAUAAUUUUGGCGGUAUUAUAGUCAUUUUAGAGGAACCUGUAUUUUAAUUGAUAGUCCACAAUUUAUUUUACUUAAUUUGGUCAUUCAAUUUAUAUACCGCCGUUAUUAGAAAAUUUUAAAUGAAAAAUAAUUUUUAUAAUUUUUUAUAUUAAAAAGAAAUUCAGGUCAAGGUGUAGUUUAUGGUUAAGUUAAUAUGGGUUACAAUAAAAUUAUUUAAAAUUUGAUUAAAAAUUAAUGGAAUAAUAAUUGAAAAUUAUUAUGAAAGUGGAUUUAAAAGUAAAUUAAAUAAAUUAAUUUAAUUGAUUUAUGCUCUAUAAUAUGUACAUAUCGCCCGUCGCUCUCAUGAAUAAGUGAGAUAAGUCGUAACAUAGUAGAUGUACUGGAAAGUGUAUCUAGAAAGUAUUUAUAUA
rnacentral:ncRNA from 1 species